rnacentral:lncRNA from 1 species
CAGGCACCCACCACCACACCUGGCUGAUUUUUGUAUUUUUAGUAGAGACAGGAUUUCACCAUGUUGGCCAGGCUGGUCUCGAACUCCUGGCCUCAGGUGAUCCGCCUGCCUUGGCCUCACAAAGUGCUGGGAUUACAGGCAUCAGCCUCUGUGCCCAGCCCCAGCCUUCUUUGCUUAUUUAACAACAAAACGUCGAAGCAAUUCUUAUCUUAGUUGCUGACCCUUGAUCUAGCAUGCAGUGAUGUUAAGUCUAAUGCCAAUUUGAUUUUUUCUUUUCAUUGUAGAUUACCUGUUUCUUCCUCUGUGGAAACAGCAUAUUAUCCUUUCUGUUAAGAAAUGUUAUGACUUCUCAAGAGUGUGGGUCUUUUUGUUUCACUCCAGUAUUAUGCUGGGCAGUUGUUAGGCCCUUUUGAUUUAAUGGUUUGUGUCUUCCCUUUAGCUUGGGUAAUUUUUUUCAUACCAUCCUCCCUGUACUUUCACUAGAAGUCUCUUUUACUCAGAUAUAAGAGCUGCCCAUUCGGCCGGGCAUGGUGGCUGACACCUGUAAUCCCAGCACUUUGGGAGGCUGAGG